CUGGUGGCUGUUUGUGCCCCCACAGGCAGAGCAGGAAACGCUGGGAGCAGUUUGUGCAGACAGAGAACCAGCACCUGGUGAGUCCUGAAGCGCUCGACCUGCUGGACAAGCUGCUACGCUACGACCACCAACAGAGGCUGACCGCCACCGAGGCCAUGGACCACCCAUACUUCUACCCAGUCGUGAAGGAGCAGUCUCUGUCCAACUCUGACAACAACAUGGUUUCCAGUGGCAACACGACAGCGCGAUGAAACCAGAUGUGGAAUCAGAAGGACGUUUGUUACCUCAACUUUGUACCCAGUUGUGACAGUAACUUUGACACGUGUACAGUGACGGUGGAUCAAAGUAAUUCUGACCAGUUGCAUACACACACACACACACACACGUGCACACACACUCCUCCUCUGUAUCGGUCUGUGUCAGUCUGGCUUUUCCUGAUUCUCCUGUCAAGCAGCCCGACCAAUGAGCUUGAAGCUGCCCCCCC